rnacentral:rRNA from 1 species
GUCUACAACCAUACCACCCUGAUCAUGCCUGAUCUCAUCUGAAGCUAAGCGUGUGGGGCCUAGUUAGUACUUGGAUGGGACACAAAAAAACGGAAGGAGGGGGACG